rnacentral:rRNA from 1 species
AUUGAACGCUGGCGGCAUGCCUUACACAUGCAAGUCGAACGGUAACAGGUCUUCGGAUGCUGACGAGUGGCGAACGGGUGAGUAAUAUAUCGGAACGUGCCCAGUUGUGGGGGAUAACUACUCGAAAGAGUGGCUAAUACCGCAUACGACCUGAGGGUGAAAGCGGGGGAUCGCAAGACCUCGCGCAAUUGGAGCGGCCGAUAUCAGAUUAGGUAGUUGGUGGGGUAAAGGCCCACCAAGCCGACGAUCUGUAGCUGGUCUGAGAGGACGACCAGCCACACUGGGACUGAGACACGGCCCAGACUCCUACGGGAGGCAGCAGUGGGGAAUUUUGGACAAUGGACGCAAGUCUGAUCCAGCCAUGCCGCGUGCGGGAAGAAGGCCUUCGGGUUGUAAACCGCUUUUGUCAGGGAAGAAACGAGCGUCUCUAAUACAGAUGCUUAAUGACGGUACCUGAAGAAUAAGCACCGGCUAACUACGUGCCAGCCGCCGCCGUAACAC